rnacentral:tRNA from 1 species
GCUAAGGCUAAUUAAACUAUAAAAUAACGGAUUCAAAAUCCGUCGAGGGUAACUUCGUGCGGGUUCGACUCCCGCCUUCGGCACCA